rnacentral:rRNA from 1 species
GUCUAGGCCAUACCACCCUGAAUGCGCCCAAUCUUGUCUGAUCUCAGAAGCUAAGCAGGGUCAGGCCUGGUUUGGUACUUAAAUGGGAGUCCACCUGGGAAUACCGGGUGCUGCAGGCC